AGUCAGUUUUGCGUGUCAUACUUUAUAGAGAAAUUGCUGCCAGCAAGACAUACUUCUGGCUGCAGAUUUUUUUUUCAGAUUUACAGACCCUGUCUGCAGAUAUUUGAAAUUUUUACCUGGCAUCUCUGGUGACGAAAAUGAAUGUUAUACGAACAAACAAUCUACGUGAAUUUCCAGUGUAAAAAACUCGAUUUUGAAAAUGGCGAGCAGUGGCCCUCGAAGUUAUGAAAGUUUCCAUGUGUUUAACUGGACCGAGUGCCUGCGUGAGUCCGGAAGUUUACCCGCUCCUGCCGAAUGCUUCAAACAGGCCGUCGGUGUGAAGCUAGAGACACUGGAACCAUGUAAUGCGACUUCAACCUGCAUCGGUAGUGUUGUGGGAGUUCUUGGAUCUUGACUGCGGCUUCGGUUGGAUGGCAGUGACAACAUAAACGAUUUCUGGAGGCUUGUAGAUUUGAGAUACCGACGUUAUUAGUUGCUUUUUAAGCCAUUAUAAUUGUAUGACAAUUUUUUGAUAUAAAUGUUUUAUAUUUC